rnacentral:ncRNA from 1 species
CGGGGGUAAGAAAGGAGAGAAGGUUAACACUCCCAUUGAGAAGGAUGGGAGAAGUCUCAGUGGUCUUUACUGCCCAUAAACAGUUAAGCCAUUGCCAUCUACUUUAGGUUUUUU